UGAAUUAGUUAGCCCCAUAUGGUUCCUAUUAAGUAUCUUAGAGCAUCUCCAACGGGAGAAAAAUGGAGCUCUCAUGACAGUCUCUCUAAAUUAUUGUGGAAAAAAAUAAAUCAUAAAGGUUUAAUACUGAGAGAAUCGUUUCUCUUAAGAGAGAUUUUGGAGCUGAAGAGAGACGCAUACGUGUCGUUGUUUUUCAGUAUUUCUUUUUUUUUUCCGUUUUUUUUCUCUACUAUCAUCUUUUCACUGGGACUUUGAGGAUCAUUGGACUUACCUGAAACGAGCUGGCCGACGUUGAUUUCGGUAGGCUUAUCGGCUCUGAGAUUCAUGGAUUCCAUACUUUGCAAGAAUUUAGGGACAUUUUAGGUUGAUUAAGGGAUCUUGGCUUUGAUUUGAGAUACCCAUCUAACGUGAAGAAGCUAGUGAAGUAUAUUUCAACCCCACCUGUGAGAGAGCUUCAGGGGAUAAUCCAUUUGGGUGGGUAUUUUUCUGGCUGUACCACUUGCAGUUUCUCAAAAGUGAGUGAAGGAACUCAUUUUGGUUGAUUAUACUCUGAGUGAAGGAACUCAUUUUCGUUGGUUCUGCUCUUCUAAGUGAAGAGGGCUUACAAGCUUGGAAAGGUGAUGGCCAUGUGUUUAGAUUGUUGGUGCAUCUAUGUACUUUCCAUAGAUCUUCCUUUGCAAUCAUUUAGUGGUGAACCUGAUAUGUUGUUAUUUCCUGCAGCAAGUUUCCAACAGAGUAAUAUCAUGUCUGACCGGAACCAUACAACGGAACAUUCCACAUAUCGUUUUACAUUUCUAUUGACCUUGACCUUUAUGUUUUAAUUUGUCAAGAAGUCUACUGCAUUUCUAUUCUCUCCUAUCUCAUUCCUCUUUAUUUACUUGCUUUCACAUGGUAAGGAAUUGUGAAUAUAUGGUCUCAGCCUCUCAUGUUAGACAUUUCUUCUAUGAUUCUCAUUUUUUCUAUUGUGAAUAAUUUUUUU
rnacentral:lncRNA from 1 species